UCCAUGGUGGUCCAGGGGCUAAGACUCUGUGCUCCCAAUGCAGGAGGCCCAGGUUCAAUCCCUGGUCAAGGAA
rnacentral:tRNA from 1 species